UUUCCACCUCUGCUCUAGCUUGGUUCCUUGUAAUAAACCUGUAAUAAAUGUUGUUGGCUCUGUGACAAAUUGCAUGUUGUGUUCGUAGAUCCUUCCAUACUGAUGGCCUCCUGCACCCCAGCAAAGCUGAGCGACCUCCUGUCAAAGGCCAUGAACCACAUGACUAUAGUUGUUUCAGUGAGAUGAAGGGCCUGUAGGCUAAAUAAUCAGCUAAAAGAGGUAACAUAGGUGACAAGUAUAAUGUUAUAAUGCUUGUAGUUAUAAUCAUUUAUUUAACUAUUAUGAUAACAGGAUAUCAUGAUCGUUAAUUUAUUUUAUUGUAUUUCUCUAGGUCUGUUUUGAGUUGUGUUUUCAAGUGAAGAGACGCCAUACUGUUCCACUCAAAGAUGAGAUGUAAUCUCUAGCGUUUGGAGCUGUGAUUCUUCAGGACAAGAUGCCAUUCACACUUGAUACAUGAAGAUGCACAUCACUGACAGGCUUUCCUGUGUAUCACUGAUUCAAGUUUUCCACCAUUGUAUUUAUCCAAAUGAGGAUCUCAGGGAUCCCCAGUUGAAGGCAUCAGGACAUCAGAUGUUGGCCUGGACAGAUGUACCAACAGUACACCACAAAGACCUCUGCUUUUAAAUGGAUGGCUGAUUACUACCAUGUUCUGUGCGGGUAUUAUUAUAGCAAAACUGAGCACCUGUGACAGUGGGAUUUCUAAUUUUAAAGAAUAGUCAUACAUCAGUAAAUUAUUUUUUUAUUUAAAAAUUUGAAAGGAUUUUUAAAAGUUGCAAACUUUUUUCUCCAGUUACAAAACAGCUACACCUUUUCAAAUUCUUCAUUGGGGGUGCACAAAUCCUAUUUCACAAAUUAAGAAAUUGAUAUGCUCACAUUUAAGCCGUGUUCUUCGGACACUGUAACAGUCCUGAUAUGAUGUCACACUUUGCAGUAUCUUUUUUAUUAACAUGAAUUCAAAUUUUAACAAAUAUAUUCAAAAUAUAAAGAUAUACAAUCUGACAAUCUGAUCUUGUCAUUAUUAAUCAAUCAGUAAUCAACACUGCACCACCCCAAAAUUACAUGCACUGUAGAAGUAUGGUUUUGGCAAGAAAUGAACAGUAGCUAAAUAUUUAUUAUAAAUGCUACUAUUUGACAUUCAGUAUUUUAGUCUAUAUUAAAGGGAUACAAGUCUCUUUUAUGUAUGAUGUUUUUUUUUUAUUACAAACUGGGUUUUUUUGUGGGGUUUUUUUGUAGCUAGCACUUAAUAUUUCUUUAAUGUUACCACAUGAGAAUAGCCAAACAGUGUAGGUGAUUCACAAAAUCAUACACAAAGAAAUGUGCAUGAUUGGCCAAAGUUUUACUGAUCUACAAAAAAAUUGAGCUUAUGAAUUUCUUAAUUUGUGAUUUGUAGAAUAGGUUUAGUGCACCUGCAAUGAAAAAAAUUAAAGGCAGCGGCUAAGUGACAAUACCACAUUUUCUUACAAUAGGUGAAAAUAGUGAUAGAUUCUAUUUACACCAUGUAAAGUAUCAAUUCUUUGCAAUAAGAGUAAAUAGAUGCUAUCUAUAGGCCUACUUAAUAUUGGCAGAUACUAUUUGCACCUCAGUAUUUUUGUACAUUAACAGGAUGCAAUAAUAUAGAGUGUAAAUGAUUGUAUUUAUUAAAAUGAUUAAAUGGAUGCUGUCUUAUUGGUAGAAUAAAAUCCUCCCUACACCUUCUCCUAACCCUACCCAAUAAACACUUUUAAUAUUAUUAAACACUCAUUUGCAGCUUAUUUCCUCUUUUAGAACAUUAUUUUCA